rnacentral:rRNA from 1 species
CUACCCUUGACGUGUCUGGAAUCCUGCAGAGAUGUGGGAGUGCCCGAAAGGGAGCCAGAACACAGGUGCUGCAUGGCUGUCGUCAGCUCGUGUCGUGAGAUGUUGGGUUAAGUCCCGCAACGAGCGCAACCCUUGUCAUUAGUUGCUACGAAAGGGCACUCUAAUGAGACUGCCGGUGACAAACCGGAGGAAGGUGGGGAUGACGUCAAGUCCUCAUGGCCCUUAUGGGUAGGGCUACACACGUCAUACAAUGGCUGGUACAGAGGGUUGCCAACCCGCGAGGGGGAGCUAAUCCCAUAAAACCAGUCGUAGUCCGGAUCGUAGUCUGCAACUCGACUGCGUGAAGUCGGAAUCGCUAGUAAUCGCGGAUCAGCAUGUCGCGGUGAAUACGUUCCCGGGUCUUGUACACACCGCCCGUCACACCAUGGGAGCGGGUUCUGCCAGAAGUAGUUAGCCUAACCGCAAGGAGGGCGAUUACCACGGCAGGGUUCGUGACUGGGGUG